rnacentral:rRNA from 1 species
CGCCCUUGAGUUUGAUCAUGGCUCAGAGCGAACGCUGGCGGCAGGCCUAACACAUGCAAGUCGAGCGGAUGUAGCAAUACAUCAGCGGCAGACGGGAUAGUAACACGUGGGAACGUGCCCUUUGGUUCGGAAUAACUCGGCGAAAGCCGUGCUAAUACCGGAUAAGCCCUUACGGGGAAAGAUUUAUCGCCAUUGGAGCGGCCCGCGUCUGAUUAGCUAGUUGGUGAGGUAAUGGCUCACCAAGGCGACGAUCAGUAGCUGGUCUGAGAGGAUGAUCAGCAUCACUGGGACUGAGACACGGCCCAGACUCCUACGGGAGGCAGCAGUGGGGAAUAUUGGACAAUGGGCGCAAGCCUGAUCCAGCCAUGCCGCGUGGAUGAUGAAGGCCUUAGGUUUUUUUAGUCCUUUUAACGGGGAAGAUAAUGACGGUACCCGUAGAAUAAGCCCCGGCUAACUUCGUGCCAGCAGCCGCGG